rnacentral:lncRNA from 1 species
UGCUGGGUUUUGCCUAAGAUUCGAAGCCUAAAGCUCUGAAUUCUGACCUCCCUGAUUACUGACUGAGGAAACAAUAUCCCCAAAAUGGAAAGCUCCAGGUCUGUGUGCUUAGAUUUAGGCUCCAAGGACUGAACACCCUGCAUGUAAGGUGUGUGUCUAAGCAGUAUUUAUGACAUAACAAACCAGCCAAGAGCUGGAGGUUCUGAUCAGCAAAUAAGGAAGGAACAACAUCUGACAUCUUUACCCACUUUAACUGUGAGUAUAUGAAAUCUAGGCAACAAAAUAAAUAGAACAGAGACUGGAAGACGUGAUGCUUCCUGGGAGAACAUGUGCCCGAAAGUUCCCACAAUAAUCUCAUCAUGAGGCUCACUCGUUCUCACCUCCAGAGUUCUGGGGGGUAAAAUAAUACAUAAAUGCAAGGAUUAUCUUAUAUAUACACCAAGGGAAAGGAAAUACUGCCUAUUAAGAAUUAGCAGCUAACAGCUGGGCGCGGUGGCUCACACCUGUAAUCCCAGCACUUUGGGAGGCCAAGGCAGGCGGAUCACAAGAUCAGGAGUUCGAGACCAUGCUGGCUAACAAGCAUCAAGCAAAGAACUUGUAAUACGCUGAAUGCUGCAUAGAAGGUUUUGAAACUACUUACCUGCUGUGGAACACCUGUAUAACUUUAAAAUGCAUCAAUCAAUCUCGAGAGUAUGAUCAUGCUUCCUGCUUUUAAGGAUCUGAAGUUAACUGCAACUCCAAGUAUACAAGACUUCUUUGGGACCCAUGGAAGCAUCUCUACAUGCUCAUGUUUGCCAGAUUCAGUGGCCUCCUGAAACCUGGCCCUAGCUAAUAAGUUAAAAAGCUCUAAGUAAUCCCGAGCUGCAUUUGAAUCUCCAAGAUCACUUGUUCAUGGGUUGGUAAUACUUUAAAGAGCCAUUUGUUUAACUGCUAAUCUGGAUCUUAUAUUCUGAGCCCCAGCUUUUUUCUAAAGCAAAGAAAAUACAAAAUAAAAGUAAGACCAAAUGCCUUUGUACCAUGGAGAGAGAAAUGACUCAUUGGAAUGCUUCUGUUUUUCAUCACAUCAAAGAUGCAUCAACAUAAAUCAACCAUUAUAUCAUGCACCAUGAUAAAAAAGGGGGAUAAAAGUCCCCAAACCACUGCCAAUUAAACCAACACAGUGCCUUUGUAUUAUUCAGAAUUUUUAUCUUAGCCUUAUUGAAAGAGCUUUUUUAGAACAUAUUUAAACAAUUCUGUCAUAUUUCAUUCUUGCAUACUCAUUAAAAAGGAAAAUAUGAGAGAUACAAAUGAA